UUUCUUUUGGCUCUGUCCAUCAGAAACAAGCUGGGUUUCAUCAAUGGAAACAUUCCAAAACCUAAAAUCACAUAUACACUAUACCCUCCUUGGAUUAGAUGUAACAAUCUUAUAGUAGCAUGGCUACUUGAUUUUAUUAGCCCUCCCAUAGCAUCAAUCGUGUUUUACAUGAAUUCUGCAAUGGAGAUCUGGAACACCCUAAAACAUAGCUUUUCUCAGCCAAACGAUACAAGAACAUGUAAUUUGUUAUGCACACUUGGGAAUAUCAGUUAGGGAACACAUUUAGUGGACACUUACUUUGUUGAACUUAAGGGUAUCUGGGAAGAGUUGAGAAACUACAGACCCCUGUCACACUGCGUAUAUGAGAAGUGCAACUCAGAAUGCUUCAAAAAAUAUAUAGACUAGUAUCAAAAGGAUA
rnacentral:lncRNA from 1 species